rnacentral:rRNA from 1 species
UGGGGAAUCUUGGACAAUGGGGGAAACCCUGAUCCAGCCAUGCCGCGUGAGUGAUGAAGGCCCUAGGGUUGUAAAACUCUUUCGGCGGGGACGAUAAUGACGGUACCCGCAGAAGAAGCUCCGGCUAACUUCGUGCCAGCAGCCGCGGUAAUACGAAGGGGGCUAGCGUUGUUCGGAAUUACUGGGCGUAAAGCGCGCGCAGGCGGUCCUUCAAGUCAGAGGUGAAAGCCCAGAGCUCAACUCUGGAAUGGCCUUUGAGACUAGAGGACUUGGGUACGGGAGAGGUGAGUGGAAUUCCGAGUGUAGAGGUGAAAUUCGUAGAUAUUCGGAAGAACACCAGUGGCGAAGGCGGCUCACUGGCCCGUUACCGACGCUCAGGCGCGACAGCGUGGGGAGCAAACAGGAUUAGAUACCCCCGUAGUCC